GAGACUGGAAGGCAGACUUGGCAGUGCGCUUUCCUUCUUCCCCAGUGUAUGAUACUCCUUUGUCCCUGAGGAACUGGAUGCAUUAGAAAGAACACUGAGCUAGGGGACUGGAAGUCUAGGUUCUAGCACAACACCUAUGAAAAACUAGCAGUGUGACCUUGGACCACUCACUCCACAUUUCUGGAUCUUCAUGUCCUCACCUAUUAAAUGUGGUUUUGGAAAGGAUUAUUUUCAAGUUACAUUCCAGCUUUCAGUUUCUAUGAAGUUCCGUAUUCUGUGAGUUGUUUGUUUCCAAUUUAAGAAGAUCAUUCUUAAUUCUGAUCGUUAUCUUCUAAGAUGCGAGUUCCACUUACUUAACCUCCCCCUCCAACCAGCCCUCAGUACCACCACUAAUGCAGGGACACCAAGCUGAGAACUGACAUCCACCAAGUGAAUGGGGAAGAAGGGGCAGGCUUGGAGUUGAAGUGGCCCAGUAGAGUUCAAAGAGAUCAUUGGCACUGAAGUUACGAGUGAAGGGUCUUAGUUGUCACAUUUAAGAAGCCAUUUAGGAAAACUUUUAAGCAGCUAAGAACAAAGGCUUUUGGACUUGAAAAACCCCAAUCCAGACACCUUCGUCCUUCCUGGCUGCAGGAUCCUGUGCACGUUGAGCUCUUUGAAUCUGCUCCUGUGUCAGCAGAUGCAGACCAAACACUGCUUGCGAAGCUAUGAAAGCUAUGCAGAGAUGUGCUCAC
rnacentral:lncRNA from 1 species